GGGGAAUAUUGGGCAAUGGGGGAAACCCUGACCCAGCAAUGCCGCGUGAGGGAAGAAGGUUCUCGGAUUGUAAACCUCUGUCCCAAGGGACGAAAGAAAUGACGGUACCUUGGGAGGAAGCCCCGGCUAACUACGUGCCAGCAGCCGCGGUAAUACGUAGGGGGCAAGCGUUGUCCGGAAUAACUGGGCGUAAAGGGCGCGUAGGCGGCCUGUUAAGUCAGAUGUGAAAGACCACUGCUCAACGGUGGGAUUGCAUUUGAAACUGAUGGGCUGGAGUGCAGGAGAGGAAAGUGGAAUUCCCGGUGUAGCGGUGGAAUGCGUAGAGAUCGGGAGGAACACCAGUGGCGAAGGCGACUUUCUGGACUGUAACUGACGCUGAGGCGCGAAAGCGUGGGGAGCAAAC
rnacentral:rRNA from 1 species